rnacentral:misc_RNA from 1 species
AGUGCAUGAUAAAUACCGCCAAAGCCCAAUACUGCAGAGGAAAUUAAGUGAAGUACCCCGGAUACAAAGUAUGGAAAGGUGUCUAUAACUUCCCCACCAGGACCUACCCCCCAACCUAGAGUAGCUAGGUGGGGAAGUAAAAUUAANNNNNNAUUGGCUUCUCCGGUACGAAAUGAGCCACUUCAAAUAGGUUCAUUGCUCCAGCCCAGAAUACGAUUAAUCCAGCAUGAGCUACAUGAGCUCCCAGUAGUUUACCGGAUAAAUUGAUAAGUCGGGCAUUCCCGGCCCACCAAGCGAAACCGGUGGUUUCUUGGUCACGACCGGCUAAAGAUAAAGUUCCAUUAAAGAGCGUUUCCACGUGGUAGAACCUCCUCAGGGAAUAUAAGGUUUUCAUGAGGCUGAUCUUGAGCCGCCAUCCAAGCACGAAUACCUUCGUUUAAGAGAAUAUUUUUAGUGUAGAAAGUCUCAAAUUCAGGAUCUUCCGCUGCACGGAUUUCCUGAGAAACGAAGUCAUAGGCACGUAGAUUCAGAGCCAGACCGACCACUCCAAGAGCGCUCAUCCAUAAACCGGUUACUGGUACAAAUAACAUAAAGAAAUGUA